ensembl:lncRNA
UAGCCAACUUGUUUUUUUAAUUAGAGUAUAUUAUACUUUCAAACUGGAUACACUAGAAAUUGGCAAUGCAACAUAAGAUGCAAAGGAAUAUACCAGUUACUGUCAAAAUGACCCUGUACAGCCUUGUAAUGCAAAAAGCUUUAUACAAUACAAAUUUUCAGUAAUGUACACAAACCUUGACAGUAUGAUCAUCUGAACAUAAUAUGAAGAGUUAAAAAAAGGAUAGAAGAAAGAAAGUGCUGAGAACCCUAACUGCAUUACUAUAUGGAAAAAUAAGCUAGUUUUCAUUGAAGAAUGCAUAGUGACAACAAUUGAAGUUAGUUGGUAGGUGAAUUUCUCAAAGAUGUUAGUGUUUUACACGGAAAGGAUAUCUAUGGAAUACAUCCUUCCCUGAGUAUCAAACUGCAAACCAAAUUCAGGGGUACAUAUUUUCUAGGGUGGAGUCUGAAAAAUGCUGUAGAUUUUUUUUCUUUAUUAAUAACAAUAAUAAUAUAAAAAGUCAAACAAACUCCAAACACACCUUUUCUCACUCAGAAAACUUUUAUAAUUUACCAGAAAGAUUGAUGACUCUUUCCAAAGUGCUAAAAAAGUUGCCCAAUUAUAUUAAGCAUGACUAAGUCAUUCAAAUACAAGUUCAGUGGCAAGCAGUGAAAUGCAUGGCAUUUGAGCAGUAAACAUCUCCUUCUUUCACCCCCUCUUGUUCUUGAAAGUUUCAAUCCUAAGACCUCCUAUUGCACAAGUGGCAUGCUGUAAAACCUAUAGUCCGAAUUGUCAGGGCCACCCUUUCAGGGUUUUAACCCGCUGGUGCUUGAGUGUGAUUCACCGUUUCUACCAGCCUCUGUGGGAUCAGUUUAGCCCUCUUUCCUGUCAUCACUGAACUUGUAAUUUUGAAAACACAUUAUUAGCCAAGUGGCACAUUCUCCAUUAUAUGGGGAUAAAGACAUGACUCGAAAACAAAACAACCCAACCCACCCAUAAGCCCAGUAUUCUUGGAGUGUAUUGUCCAUAACUAUCUAUAGUGUCUUUUAUUGAGACAUUGAUGUGGCGAGGUUGAACAUCGUUUCAAACCCGGCCGAGAGCAAAGGUCUCUGCUGGAGAAUGACUGAGGGUUUGGGAGCUUCCCGCCCUAGCUGGUUUGGCCUCCCUGUCCCUGUGGGCAUCUCCUUAGUGUAAACAGAUUUGCCAGGGCACCCAGCAGGCUCCCCAUCCAUGGCGGGAUGACUGGCAAAGGGAGGUGUAGCAUACCUGCUGGGUGUGGGGGAGAGGGGCUGGCAUGGAGGGGACUGAGGAGACCAUGGUGUGGACAGACAGUACAGUCUUCGGGCUUCCUGGAGAACUGUACUAAUUCCCAGGGAGCUUUCAGCAAAGCAAACUGACUAGAGGAAGAACAUUAGGGAUGCUUUUAUUUUGCCCCUGGUGAAACAGAUUUUUAAAAACCCCAACUCUUAGGAUAACACAUGAUGGAAAACAGCGACUCAGUAAGAGAGUGUUCCUCCUGCACACCAGUUCUCCAGUAGAUAAAUUAAAUACAUAAACUUUUAUAUUCCAAACUUCCCAUUAUUACACAAAGAACAUUGCUUCCUGCUCUUUCAGCCUGUUUCAUACUGGAAAUUCUGUUGUUUUAAAAAUACAAGCAAUGAACACAUUCAGCCAAAGAUUUUUUCCUUUUUUCUUUUUAAAUCACCCAUUACUUUUUAAGAUUAGCAAAGGGCUUUACAACCAACCCACACCUGCUUCCUGCUGCAAUAAAGUGCUGCACAUAAAUUGCCAUUUUAAUGACCACAAAAUAAGAGCUUUUAAAUAAGUAUAAAGUUAGCCUCCUAGCAGGUUACAUCUACCAGGCGUUAACAAAAUGGAAUACAGAAUUACUAAUAACAUGGAGGAUACCGCGAUAUAGCCAGAAGACCGGCAAAACGCAAUGGAAACUUGUCAGGGGCAUAAACUGAACCAUAGGACUAAACAGCACCUUUUUGUUGCGUCAUUAUAUGUCAAAGAGGUUGUGGCUAAAUCUUCAAAUAUACAGUCUACUCAUUCCAUAAAAAAGGUACAUUUUCUUCCUUUUUACUUUUUUCAGAUGAGAAACAAAAACUAGUGCAAGACCACAGCACUGUGCAAAACUGCCGUUUCUUUUUUUUAGUCUGAGCAUUUAUACCCAGAAUUUAUCCAAACCCCUUUUAAUCUCCUUGGCUGGAUUUAUCAACCAUAAAUUUUUUUCACUCAUACAUUUCUUUUUCCUGCAAACAAAUGGUAACCACUGAAUUAAUACAUCAUAUAUAUAUAUAUAAUCUGCCCUUACAAAAUGAUGCACUGUGUGUGUGCACCGUACACAUUUGUCUAUGUGUGGGCACACACACAAAACACACUUAAGUUCUGUGAUGUCUGCUGCAGUGCUGCGAGAUAUUUCUUCCAGAUCAGUCACUUGAUUCCUCGCCUCUUCAUCGCCAGAGAAGAUCUGAGUACAAGGUCUCCAGCGCUCUGGUGGAAAUCUCCAGCAGCACUGUAGAUGUCUACCAUUCCUUCAUCGACUAAGCACCAGGCCCUACCACUCUGUAGCCGUCAAAGAGAGAGGGAAAGGUGAUGAAGGAGCGCAGGGAGAGACUGUCGUGGAUGAACAACCCAGGAGGGAAAAGAACGUUCAUCGCUGUUAAAGAAGCCAGUACAAAGAAUGUGCAAUAGAAAUGUCAUGGCACACGACACACGGCUUUCUCUUUCAGAAUCCACAAACGCCCACACACCACAUUCACCCAACAGAAAACCAAAUGCACCAGUAUAUAAGCUUACAAGUGCUGAUUGCUAUUAAGGACACUCUCUUUAGGGUUUAACAAGACAAGAUUCCUUUCAGAGAAAAGUACGGAGAAGGGCUGAGAGUGGGAGUGGGUGGCUGGGGAGGCAUGCCUCUGAAGGUAGAAGUAUGCAGUAGGUCACCUCUCUGAAGAUUGGAUAAAGCAGCUUUCAGGUCAAUGCAAUAGGUAUACACACAGAGCC